GGACAAAUGCUAAAAAUAAGAAGAAGGUUAAUUAAAAGUAGGGAAUUCUUGAGUAGCUUAGCAAAUGUUAGCUUCUCAAUAAUGACUUUCUUCCAUGGUGUCAGUUAAUUGUGAAUAUAUUUACACAAGAUAAUGAAUUGUUUGUGAUUUAAGCAUUAAUAAGUUGUGAGAACUAAAGAUAACAUUUUAUAUAUGCUAUAAAUAGCUCAUAUGUAAAAGUACAAACAAAAGUAAAGUGACCGACACAAACAGCAGUGGCUAAGUUUUGGAUGCUUCUGCACGUCUAUUGUCACACAACCUUAUGGGCCAAUCAGCUUAAGAGAGUUGGUAUAUAAAGUAUUAAGUUACUUCAAGCAUAAAGCAGACACCAUAUAUGUACACACAUUUCAUCCAUAAUCUUCUCUAGUCCAAAUGAAUAUUAUAUGCAAUAGUUGGUGAACCUUAUGCAGCAUAGCUUUGUAAAUUUUAUAUCCGUCUAUCCAGUACUCUACCAUGUACACUAAAUUACUGUUGUGAUGAUCUUAAUACUGAAGUUCCCAGGGUGCCUUGUAAAGUCCAUGGGUGCACACCAGAUCAACCGGUAAUGAUCUCAUGCACGGGGCAAUAAACUGCAAGUGGUGAAACUUCAGCUCCAUCAUGCAUCAAGCAGUGUGUCUCGGUACUCCUCACAGACAACAAAACCAUCAAAAACUGGAUGACUUCCACCACAGUGGAAAUCAAAUCCAAUCACUGCUGGCGCGCAGUCAAUUCCUAAUUUCCGAGCUACACGGUUCAAACCAGGAACUAUAACAAAGUAAGAACAUAUAUAAAUAUGUGACCUGUCCAUUACGUUAAGGGCUAUAUAAAGUGUAUUUAUUUCAUUUAAUGAUGCUAUCAUUCACAAUGUCAAAAAAUGGGAUUAAUAAAUACUAAAAAGUUUCAGAACUAC